CUCUUUCUCUCUCCCUCUCCCUCGUUCUCUUUCUCUUCAUGUUUACGUUUUUUCUUAGCUUCGUAAGUACGUAUUCAUUUAGUACGUACAUCUUGUUUCGUUUAGCUCAUUAGUCAUAGCCAGGUCAUAGCAGAGUGAACAUCUUUAGAGAUAUAGAAAAGAAGAAACAUCUACAGAGAUUAUCGAGAUUUACCUGCUGCAACGUCGUCAAAAGUCCAGAAUCUCCAGGCGGCAAACGAAUAUGUUUAAAGGCAUUGUAACCUUGUAAACGUUGCAGGAUCAGCACCAAUAGUUCUGCACCAGCACCAGGUACACGUGUUAGCAUGAGUACGUGCUUAUUCAUCUCGGGCAAAUUUCCACGACCGCCCAGUUCAGCAAGGGAGGGCGUGACGUAUCGAUAUGUCUGUUUAACAAUCGUACGAUGAUUUAUUAAAGAGCUCUAGGCACACCUGUUGGAUUUGAUUAGAAUGAUGUGACUCCAUAAAAAUCAAGGGAAAAAAAAAAGAAUUAAAAUAUCUCUUUCCAUACAA